ACCGGCAACAAUGGUGGCGGUGACCAGCGGAGGAAGACGUCGAAAUAGCCGGCUGUACAGAGGUUUUAAGGCCAAACUUUCUACAUAGGAAUGGGAGGGGAGAGGCAAAGGCUCAAAGUGACGCGCGUGGAAUCCUUUUGUAGUGGCCAAGGAGGGAGAUCGGGCGCGGGAUGUCGACGGCCGGCAUUCGGUGCGUCUCUUUUGGAAACUGCGAUUAUGAGAGGAAACUUCAAAUUGAUUUCCUGAAUGGGUUCCCGGGAUGGUGAGGAUUGAUGGAAUGGUUUCCUUUUAGAGAAAGACGCGCGGGAAGGAAAGAAAUCGAAGAAACAAAAUAUGGAAGGAGUGGAUUCCUUACUCGUAGAGGAGGGCUGGGGCGCUCGGUGGAGAUGGGCCGGCCCAGUUGGGUCGGUCCAUUCUCUUUUCUUUUUUUUUCCUUUUUUUUUUAUUAAUAACUUUUGAUUCCUAAUUCCAAAUAAGUCCAAAUAAACUCCAGUAAAUUUGUAAAUUCAAAUCCUCCAAAGUGUGAACUUUUGGGACUUGAAUAUUUUCAAAAUAAAAUAAGUAAAAAUACUUUUGUUUAUAUAAAUGUCAUUAGGGCUUUAUUAGUAAUACAUAAAAUAUAUUUUGAAAUCUAUUAUGAAAACCAUAAAUUAGUUUAAACUCCAAUAAAAUAUUGGGUUGGCAUACUUUGCACUAAAACCCUUCCUUAGCUAAAUACCCCAUUGGGUUUAACUCCAAAUAAAAUCUCAUAAUAAUUAUACGGUUCAAUAAAAUUCUCAAAUGGCUUUAUAACACCAAAUCACAAACCAUGUAAACAUCGCAGAUGUUUCUAACUAUAUAUGUUUGGGAAGUCACGUUAUCCCACUCUCAACAAUAGAAUAAAUGUUGGAAUAACAUUUGCACAUGAGGAUGUCAUGUUAUCCUCUUCUCGAAUAUUUUAUAACUUUUUCUCGAAAACAAAAUGAACACGACAAAGCAAAUAUCGAGAGAAACAUAGGUGAAUCAUUAUAUAUGUUUUCCAACCAUAUACUUGGGAAGUCAUAUUAUUCCCUUUCUUUAAC
rnacentral:lncRNA from 1 species